rnacentral:sRNA from 1 species
UCAAAGAUUCGAACCUGCAGCAGGUUCGAGUUGAGCGCAGCGAAACAACGGAGCCGCUCGCGGCGACGGCCCGUAGGGCGAGCGAAGCGAGUCAUCCUGCACGACCCACCA